UACGUAGGGGGCAAGCGUUGUCCGGAUUUAUUGGGCGUAAAGAGCGUGUAGGCGGUCAGGUAGGUCGGUUGUGAAAACUGGAGGCUCAACCUUCAGAGGUCGACCGAAACCCCCUGGCUAGAGUCCGGGAGAGGAGAGUGGAAUUCCUGGUGUAGCGGUGAAAUGCGCAGAUAUCAGGAAGAACACCAAUGGCGAAAGCAGCUCUCUGGGACGGUACUGACGCUGAGACGCGAAAGCGUGGGGAGCGAACAGG
rnacentral:rRNA from 1 species